UACGUAGGGGGCAAGCGUUGUCCGGAAUCAUUGGGCGUAAAGAGCGUGUAGGCGGCCAGAAAAGUCCGCUGUGAAAACUCGAGGCUCAACUUCGAGCUGUCGGUGGAAACUUUCUGGCUAGAGUCCGGAAGAGGAGAAUGGAAUUCCUGGUGUAGCGGUGAAAUGCGCAGAUAUCAGGAAGAACACCCGUGGCGAAGGCGGUUCUCUGGGCCGAUACUGACGCUGGAGGAGCGAAAGCGUGGGGAGCAAACAGG
rnacentral:rRNA from 1 species